rnacentral:lncRNA from 1 species
GUUUUUUUCUCUCUCAUUUUGGUCAAAGUAGUACUUAAAAAAUUUCUGUGGAAUAAUAGACAUUCUAAGUAACAAUUAUAGUUGAGGUUUUGAUAAAAGAUAAAAUGUAUAAAUAUUUGCAAAUACAUUUAAAAUGUACCUUGCCACUUUCAAAAUUUAGAAAAUUAACAAGGGUCCUGAGUAAGAAAAUCUGUUUUACCUACUUGAAUUGUUUAACUAGGUCCGUCUUCUCCAGCAAGUACUUCGGAGUCCUUUCCAGAAGUAUUCUGCCGCUGAGAGAGCAGGCUACGCCUUACCCACUCCUUCUUGGGCUAAAGAUCUCAGAGUCAGUUGCUCAUCUUAAUUUGGGAAAAAUCAAUUAAAAAUACUUCUAUUAUUGAACUUAACAUGGAAUAAUCUAUUUUGUAAAUUCUUAAUUAUCAUCUACAUUUUGAUGACAACCCCAUGUUUAAUAAUAAUGAUUAUAUGCAAAAAUAUUUUUAGCCAAAUAAAUUGGACCUUAUUCUUGAAACAUCUCUGUGAUUAUUUUUGUUCUAAUCAAUAACUUAAUGGAAGAACAAAAUGUUUUUAGCAAAACAAUGAGUUAACCUCAAUGACUAAGAAAUCUUCUGACAGUAUUUUAAUCAAAAUGAUUUGUAGGUAUUCAUCUAGUACUUACAAAAUAUUAUGAAUUUUGGGGUACAUUGAUAAGCAUGUAGUUUAAUUGUACUCCUAGAUGAUUUUUUUCUGUUAUGGAAACAUUUACUGAAGUAGAGAAAAUAUUUUUAUGACUCAAAUUUAUAUUUAACCAUCUUACUAAUUAUAAGUGCAUGGCCAAUCUUCCCUCACCUAUAUAGCCACUGGGUUCAAGAUAUAUAUAAAUAUAUAUAAAUAGCAGAAAGAUCAGUAGAGGAGAGGAAAGGAAACAGGGAGAGGGAGGAGAGGGAAGGGAAGGAUAAGUAUUGGGGACUUAAUUGAACCAAAUUAUAUUCCAUGCAUUUAUAAUUAUGUCAAAAUGAAUCCUAACAUUAUGUAUAACUAAUAUGAAUGAAUACAAAAAUGAAGAAAUUUAAAAGUUUCUAAGGCCCAAUUAUUGAGUUGAAUCAUCUUAAUAUCAUACCAGCCAUUAUUUCUGUGAUCAAAUCAAAUAUGUGAAUCAUAAUAAAGAUCUAAAUGUUCUCCCUUUGAGGAUUUAUGGCAAAAUCUUACUUCAGAUUCUAUCAUAUGGCAGGUUAAAUGUUUCCUAUAAACUGUCAAAUGCUGUAGUUUUAGUUGCAGUUGACCUAUUACAUGGGUCUUUGUCCUGAUGACAUUAUAUAAGAAAUUGUAUAGUUUUUAUGAACCAAGAUAUAGGAUUAUUGUCUUAAUCCUUGCACUCUUUGCCACAUCCCCCAGCUCUGCCCUGGCUUUUGCACUUGCCCUCAUCCAAAGACCUCACUUAGCUUCAUGAAAAAAGAACAAAUUCUGCUUUGUUUCCAGGACCAAUCUAAAUAAUCACACUUAGGCAUAGGAGCUGUCUGUGAAGACCUUCUACUCAGAUACCAAAGACUGUUCUACUGAGUGAAAACUGCAGAGUUCAUGAUCUGGUGCCUGGGUCUGUCAAAAGCAAACUUUUGCCCAGGAUUCACUAACUAAAAGCAGCACAGAUUUCUAAGACUUCUGACCAUAAAUACAUGGUCAACUCUAUGUCAAUAUUUUGACUACAAAACUAAUUCUCUUCAGUAUCUUGCCUAAAAUACACAUUAUCAAAUGUUAAAAUUCAUGAACAGUGUAGUUUUAAUUUUUAGUUUUCCCCACUAUAAGGAUAUAUGGUAUAGAUGGAAGUUACUGGGAUGUGAUCCAUCUCCGUGGCCUGAUUCCUUUCAGAAGUGACACUUCUGGGGUCUUCAAUGAAGCCCAUUAAACCAAAUCCCUCUCUUCUACUCUCCCACGUCUCCACUGCCUACUCUCUGGACCCUUCCUGAUCCACAGUGAUGCUAAAGAUGGUGUGACAAGGAAAUGGCCUUUCCUUACCUUGACCGAUGCUGUACUUUUUCAGAGAAAUUUUCCAGUUAGGAUGAAAGAUAGCCAGGCUGUCCCGGCCUCUUUAGACAGAGUUGACAGAAAUUUGGGAAUUGCAGAGUGACUUUCCUCCAUCAUAGGGACUGAAAAGUACAGUGACAAUGCAGAGGGUAACAAUGUUUGCAAAGAGGGUAACAAUGAGGUAAAAGUAUAGAGAAGAAAAUUGAGAAAUGAACUGUAUUUCCAGGAACCUCUUCUAGGACCUGGCUGAGAGUCUAGGCAAAUGCUUGGUGUUACUGGGACUGUGCCUCUGAUCCACAGAAUAAAUGCCACCUUUUACUUGAGCUUUUCCAAUUGGUUUUAUUACUUAAAGUCAUAGUCAUCAUUGAUGGAAUGGGCUCAAUUAUAUUUUCAGGGUGCCUUCAUCCGUAAGAUUCUGUGGCUGUCAGAUGGAAAGACACUUUUCCUUCCUUCUGCAGAUAUGACCAUGAACUACCUUUGAGGGUUUUAGACUGAAAUAAACUCAGUCAAGCACUACUCUUUUGCUUAUAAUCGUCCUAAAUUCUAAGUUAUUCUCAAAGAUGAAUACAUUUUCUGAUCUGUAAACCAGGUGGUAAUUUUGACUCAGAUAAGUAAAUCCAGAUUAUAAUCCUUUUGAAGAUCUUUUGUCCUGAGCCACCGGGUGACUGACCUGGACAACUGUGUGUUUUAAUAGAUAUUUAUAUCUCUUUGUUGAACUUUAAAUCUCCAAAUCAGUCUGUGAUCAAAUUGUGC